rnacentral:rRNA from 1 species
GAUGAACGCUAGCUACAGGCUUAACACAUGCAAGUCGAGGGGCAGCGGUAUCGAAAGCUUGCUUUCGGUAGCCGGCGACCGGCGCACGGGUGAGUAACGCGUAUCGAACCUGCCUCAUACUCGGGAAUAGCCUUGCGAAAGUAAGAUUAAUGCCCGGUGUUUUCAGAGUCCCGCAUGAGGCUUUGAACAAAGAUUUAUCGGUAUGAGAUGGCGAUGCGUCCCAUUAGCUUGUUGGCGGGGUAACGGCCCACCAAGGCGUCGAUGGGUAGGGGUUCUGAGAGGAAGGUCCCCCACAUUGGAGCUGAGACACGGUCCAAACUCCUACGGGAGGGAGCGGUGAGGAAUAUUGGUCAAUGGGCGGAAGCCUGAACCAGGCAAGUAGCGUGCAGGAAGACGGCCCUCCGGGUUGUAAACUGCUUUUAGUUGGGAAUAAAACGGGGCUCGUGAGCCCCCUUGCAUGUACCAUCAGAAAAAGGACCGGCUAAUUCCGUGCCAGCCGCCGCCGUAA